ensembl:miRNA
UCUUCUGGUCUCUCUGGUGCAGUGGUUCUUAACAGUUCAACAGUUCUAUCUCAAAAUUGUGAAAUGUUUAGGACCACUUGAUCAGGGAGAUACUAGAA